CAGUCGCCACGGGAAUACAGAGGGUGCGAGCGUUAAUCGGAUUUACUGGGCGUAAAGCGUGCGUAGGCGGCUUUUUAAGUCGGAUGUGAAAUCCCUGAGCUUAACUUAGGAAUUGCAUUCGAUACUGGGAAGCUAGAGUAUGGGAGAGGAUGGUAGAAUUCCAGGUGUAGCGGUGAAAUGCGUAGAGAUCUGGAGGAAUACCGAUGGCGAAGGCAGCCAUCUGGCCUAAUACUGACGCUGAGGUACGAAAGCAUGGGGAGCAAACAGGAUUAGAGACCCCCGUAGUCCCUGUCUCUUAUAC
rnacentral:rRNA from 1 species